AAGAGAAAAACAGAGAAAUGGUGUGAUGAAGAAAAUGGAGAAUGUGGGUAGGAAGGAAUUUUUUAAACAUGCACUGGAGAGUGGAAUCAUUACAGAAAUGAAGUCCUUGGGAGACUAAUUGGCGCACGAUCACAUCCUACUCAGGUACCAACGCCUUCGACAACUGCAUCCCCCCCACGAUCCCCGCAGCUUUGCCUAGAUGUGCCCCGCAUCGCAGGUGCAUCACCCAGGAAGAGCUCGUCGGGGCAGCACCUAACUGACAGGUAACUUCGCUGUUUUAGUUUCGAAGUCAUUAGUCUUAGGAAGCUGCGAGAGCACGACGGCGCUGACGCACUGCCCACGGCCUUUCCUGAGGAGCUGGCGACACCGCGGAUGUGAACGAGCCCAGAGUUUGCUACUCUUGUCCCCUGGACUCAGAAGGAGCGGAAUUCUCUCUUCCUCCAGGGCACUCCGGGCCAGAUGCACACCGGGGCGGGUGUUACUCGAGCUAACGAACUACAGGAGGAAAAGCAGCAACCACAAACUCGGGCAAACCAAGCUUCUUAUCAGAAGAAAUCUUCAGAAAUGAUGGGUUUGAUCCACAGCGAGGGCGCUUCCUUCACCUCGGACUGCUUAAGUAAAGCAGUUUGAGCCCAGUGACAACUGACAGGCGAGGAAGGAUCUCCCUGCUUUGUGGCUCUCAGCUGUGUCAAGCAGGAGCCUCGGGCCCCAGGGCGUAUGCGUGGAUCCCCAGGGGCGCCUCAACACUCUGUGGCUCCCCAGACUCUCACUUUUGGAGGUGCCCUCCAUGCCCAUCAAACAGACCGGAGGUGGAGAGGUGCCCCGGCAGUGAACUCUCACAGCCUGGCGUGGGAGGCUGGCCUCCUACCCACUCCUUAGGAAUGCUUUAUUUAUAACCCGAUGCAGAAGUACUUACUGAGGCCCAGAUAAUCUGGCUUUUUCCCCCCCUCAAUUAUUCAUGAGAUUUAGGCAAAAUUGCUAUUUUUUAAUUUCAUCUUUUUGGUAUAAAUUACUGAAAUCGCAGGCAAAGAAUCCAUCCAGGAUCUGUUUGCUAGAAGCCUCUCUAGGUUAGCUCCGCAUCAUUACAACUACUUCUCUUUGAACUUUGAGAAUGGAGAAUCCUGAAAAUUUGACAGUUGGUGGCAAUUUAUGUAACUUGUUCUAUUACUGUUGGCAGAAUGUGGGAAAACAUUGGAAUGAAAAUCUGAAUCUAUAAUACACACACACACACACACACACACACACACACACACACGUUUAUAUAAUGUCUCAACAGCAGCAAAAGACAGACGGGACCAUGCUGGGACCAGAGAGGGAUCCGAGGUCAUUUGCUGAAUGGGGCUUACCGCUCAGGCACACUUUGUUUUUAUUCCUUAGUUAUUAAUUAGUGUCUACCUACCAGUGAGUACAUGAAACUCUGGCCUGCCUCCCUCCUUCCUCUGUGCCCUCUCACCUGCUACCCUGGCUCUGGUGUCACUGGGGACAGCUCUGGUCACCAGCUCCCUAGCACACACAUGUCUCCUGAGCUACAGGAACUACAGACCCAGAAAUGUUAAUUCCACCCACCUCCCCUUGGCCCGCUGAAAUCUCUGUGUGUGCGCUCACCAUUCCCUCCGCCGGACACCCCUCUACCUUUGCUGGCUACUCCAAGUCUUGCCCUUCAAAGUCCGGCGCCAACCCCACCUUGGGAAAGGCUCCGCCAUGACUGCCCUACCUAACUCCUCUGCCUCUGACUUCACAGCUUGGCCUCUAGGAGUGUGGCCAUGUCCGUCUCACUAAGCCAAUGCUCCUUAGUUAUCAAGGGGUAGAAAUAGCAACUAACCUUUGUAAUGAGCUUUGGAUAUAUAAAGCCUUUGCAUACGUUUGACCCUUCGGAGACCCCUCAAGGUGGGUUAACAUCCCAUUUUCCACACAUGUAAACAGAACAGUUCAAGUAGCUGGUCCCAAGUGACACAAGUGAUGUGGUGAUACUGAGGCUAGGUGAGUCAGAUCUACAGGCUCAGGCACUUAUAGGGCAUGGUAUCCCUCCCCACCCCCUCUUGAGUGUGGGGUCUUGGCUCGUUCCUCUCUUUCUCCGCCAAGCACCUGUGGCUGUUGGUAAAUAUUUGUUGAAUUGAACUGGGGCAGGAGGUAGAUAAGAAAGGGGUCUGUGAGCUGGGUGAUCGAAUCCCACGUCAUGCUUGAAGGUCACAAGGAAACUCUCUUUACACAGCUAGAUCUCCUACAAGCCUCCCGACAAGGGGCUGUUCUCUCUUGUGCCAGAAGCACUUGCAUUCCUCUGUGGCUCUGUUUCUAAAGAAACCGGGACGUGGAUGUAUGCCAGCAGAUAGCAGGACUGAGAAACACCCCAGUGUGAAACUACUGAUAUUUGAGAUGUCCUGAUCCUUUGAAAAAUUACAUGUACUAAUAAGAAUUAAUAAAACGUAUGCACUCCAGUGAAGUAUAAAGACAGGUUUAUGAUGAACUGUUUCUGUAAAUUAAAAGUUUUCAAGAAUACUG